rfam:TPA: Bos taurus chromosome 23, whole genome shotgun sequence.
UCCCUCAUAGCUCAGUUGGUAAAUCAUCUGCCUGCAGUGCAGGAGACCUGGGUUCAAUUCCUGGGUUGGGAA